ACUCAAAGGAAUAGACGGGGGCCCGCACAAGCGGAGGAACAUGUGGUUUAAUUCGAUGAUACGCGAGGAACCUUACCCGGGCUUGAAAUGCGCAGGAAUAACGUGGAAACAUGUUAGUCAGCAAUGACCUGCGUGUAGGUGCUGCAUGGUUGUCGUCAGCUCGUGCCGUGAGGUGUCGGCUUAAGUGCCAUAACGAGCGCAACCCUUAUCGUUAGUUACUAACAGGUUAAGCUGAGGACUCUAACGAGACUGCCACCGUAAGGUGAGAGGAAGGUGGGGAUGACGUCAAAUCAGCACGGCCCUUACGUCCGGGGCGACACACGUGUUACAAUGGGAGGUACAGAGGGCAGCUACCACGCGAGUGGAUGCAAAUCUUAUAAAACCUCUCCCAGUUCGGAUCGGAGUCUGCAACCCGACUCCGUGAAGCUGGAUUCGCUAGUAAUCGCGCAUCAGCCAUGGCGCGGUGAAUACGUUCCCGGGCCUUGCACACACCGCCCGU
rnacentral:rRNA from 1 species